rnacentral:rRNA from 1 species
UACUGCCGCCGAGUCCCUUGGUGACACCCACUCUGGGUCGGUGUCGCUCUGGGCCGCGCCUUCUCGCUGUCCGCCCAGUGUUCCUCCGCCGUGCAGGAGCCGCUCAAGUUCGUCCGCUUCCUUCGUUACGCGGUUGUUACAGUCAACUCGCUACCCCUACGCUCAGGACUUCGUAUAUGGAGACCCCGAGGAGCGUCAGCACACUAGCACGACGGCCUGUACUCCUUCUCUUUACCAGUCGCUGCUGGUAAAUCCGAUCGUAGCACAGAUUGGAAUCUCCUACGGAGAUUGUUACAUUGUUAGGUAUACCAAGGUUAACAGUCGGAAUCCUUCGUAUUCUUUCAUCCUCAUGUUCUCUUUAUGCAUAGAACGGGGGAGAGUAGGUGGCAACCUUAACUAGGUCGCCGGUCGUCGUCAAGUGUCGGUUAGUUGUUUUUGUCCCCUUUUAAGAGCUCGCCCUGUCCCCUUUGCCGCGCGCCCGACCCUCUUUUGACGCGCCCGUCCGGCAGGGACGGCGAGCGAUCGGGGCGGCGGCGGUGUAGAGCGGGUGGGGGGCGGCGGCGUAUAGCGGGUGGGGCGGCGGCGUAGAGCAGUCGGUGGUGGCCUAGAGCGGGGGGAAUGGCGGCGAGCGGUCGCCGGCGACGUAGAGCGGGUGGGGCGGCGGCGGCGACAAGCGGGCGGGGCGACGACCUUUCCCUCACCUAGCUCGAGGCCGCCGACGGCGACUUCUUUUGCCGCGGCUGUCCAAGGAGGAAGCGGUGAUGCCCGAUGAGGUGGGGUGGGGAGGCUGCCGAGGGAGGCGGGGGACGCUGGGGAUGAGCUCGUCACAGGUAAUUCGUUCGAGGUCCGGCUGAGGUCGUCUGGACGUUUUCUUAGACAUAACACAAGUUGAAAGACGACAACACAACACGAUUUUGAAGAUAAAAAAAACCGACACUUGACGACGACCUGCGACCUAGUUAAGGUUGCCACCUACUCUCCCCCGUUCUUCAGUUUUCAUUACCACUGUCAUCGCGCACCUGUCUUACGCAGUCGCGUCACCUCAACGUUGUCAUGUCUCUUUGAGCAUAAUGAUUCUUGGUCACGUGUUUGUAUAUACUCGUCAUGUGUCCGUGUUGUUAGACCGCCAAUGGGAGAAGUGCGUGUCGUGUGUUUUUUCUAAGUAGGUUAAAGAGAGAAACGUGUGUUGCGGGUGUGGUUUAGUGCGUGUGUGUCGUUCGUGUGAGUUGGUACCUUUCGUGUGUGGGUGUCUUCUCUAGGUUGAGUUAAAGAGAGAAACGUGUGUUGCGCGCAGUACACCCUUCGACCAGUUCGUGGUGAACCCGUCCCGUGGUGCCGGCCCCCUUCGACCAAGCCGUUCCGCCCGCGCGUGCUGCACCAGCAGGUCGGCCGUCGCCCUCUUCCGGUCGUUGUCGGCGAGGACCAGUGGCGAUACGAGGACGGUGGUUGCCUGGAACCCGCGACGCUGAACGGGACGUGUUGCGGCGGAGCGGGCAGGAAGUGACGAACCGCGGGAGGCGGAGGGGUGGUACCGACGGGAGGUGGCGCGGUAGGCAUCGUCGCAGGCGUCACGGGAGGAGGUACGGAGCGCGGCGACGACACACGGAGCGCAGCACGCCAUCCCAGGGUAGGGGCUAGAGGUCGGAGAGAUUAGGGUAGGUGCCCGGACGAAAGUAACCCCGGGACCGGCAGUGGUGCUAGGGUGGGGCACACUGGCGGCUAGACCACGACUACGGCGUCUUCUUCGCGGGGGCGGCAUCCUCCAGAGGAGUGCUUCCGAGGAGGGCGGCCGCGACACCACUUCUACCGCGUAGCAACAGACCUAGGGAACAGCUUAGCCUACCCUCGUCGUCGUCGUCGUGCUGAAGGCCGCGUGGCAAUAGCCUUAGGGAGCUGGUCGGUAGCCUGUGGGCCAGCAGAUCGUUCAUGCUCAGGUCCAUGGUACUCUAGGAGCGGAGCAGAGAACGGUACGACGGAGAUGGUCGGCGGUGCUUGCUCCUUCCGGAUCUAUAGGUAAGACUACUUUGACAGCUUCGGGAGCAAGUAGGAAGAAAGAUACUACUGGUCGACGCCCGACGAGAGCAUCUUAUGGUUCAGGUGUUCAAGUACCCGCCUGCUCUGAACGACUUUCCUCACGGAUAACUGCUACAACGUAAGCUGAGGCUCAUGGGAGGUCUCGAACGGAACCUGUCGGUGGCAGAAAUGGUCUCUCUACUUCGGCUGAACCUUAAGAGAAGUCACCUAUCCACGAGAAAGCAACAGCGGCGACGACCGGCUCCCCUCUACGGUGGCGGCGGGAACCGCGGCAUAAGGUAACUGCGGAAGAAGGCCUUGCGGCGUCUCUUCUUCCGGCGGCCCCGCGUCGUCGUCGUCGGGAGCCACGGCCGGUGGCGCUGCAGGCACCUGCGGCGGCACUAGCGCCUCGAGUGGUCCGACAGGCUGUGGUUCGCCUCCAAGGAGUUCCUAGGGCGUCCACGCUGGUCCUUGUGGCGCCGACGCCCGUUGUGGCGGGAGAGGUUCGUACGGCUCCUCGUCGCCGUAGACGAGUUCUGCAUGGUCUAGUGCCGCGCGUUCGACCUCCGCCUCGAGGUAAAACACCAACUAGAACCAGAACAAGAUAUACGUCCCAUGUGAGUUACAAAGUGCAAACCACUUUCUUUUCUCAGACGAAACAACUAAAACCCGUUCUAAUACUUCCUCACCUCCGUGAGUACGCCUCGACAAGUUCCAAGUUCCUCUAUGUGGGCUAACUUGUUCCAACAUCGUCUUUGAAAAUCUCCGGGACUUAACACU